AGUAAAAGUCGUAACAAGGUUUCCGUAGGUGAACCUGCGGAAGGAUCAUUAGUGAAUAUAGGACGUCCAACUUAACUUGGAGUCCGAACUCUCACUUUCUAACCCUGUGCACUUGUUUGGGAUAGUAACUCUCGCAAGAGAGCGAACUCCUAUUCACUUAUAAACACAAAGUCUAUGAAUGUAUUAAAUUUUAUAACAAAAUAAAACUUUCAACAACGGAUCUCUUGGCUCUCGCAUCGAUGAAGAACGCAGCGAAAUGCGAUAAGUAAUGUGAAUUGCAGAAUUCAGUGAAUCAUCGAAUCUUUGAACGCACCUUGCGCUCCAUGGUAUUCCGUGGAGCAUGCCUGUUUGAGUGUCAUGAAUACUUCAACCCUCCUCUUUCUUAAUGAUUGAAGAGGUGUUUGGUUUCUGAGCGCUGCUGGCCUUUACGGUCUAGCUCGUUCGUAAUGCAUUAGCAUCCGCAAUCGAACUUCGGAUUGACUUGGCGUAAUAGACUAUUCGCUGAGGAAUUCUAGUCUUCGGAUUAGAGCCGGGUUGGGUUAAAGGAAGCUUCUAAUCAGAAUGUCUACAUUUUAAGAUUAGAUCUCAAAUCAGGUAGGACUACCCGCUGAACUUAAGCAUAUCAAUA
rnacentral:rRNA from 1 species